GUGGGCCUCUUUGAAUUUUGGAGGCCACAUAUAUCUUAUUUGGGAGUGCUCUAACCCAUUCAUCAAAUAAUUGAAAGGUUUUCAGUUCUGAUGGAUGUCCAGGCUGCCAUUAAAGCUGCUCUGCCACUUGGGCCAUAUGACCCAGUAAAUCUAUUAGUGCUUAAAGAGUCUGUGGCCAAUAUGGAUGCUGUCUGGAGCCUUUGGAAAUGCUCCUUUAGGUGAAUCAUAGUGCAUAUCUUCAGGAUGUUGGAGUAGAUAUACAAUCCCCUGUCAGCAACUAUUGUCCUUUUGGGAAACGGUUUCUGGCUUGCAAUUGAGCCCUAGUAUAGACUGACCAUUUGAUCAUGGGCCACCAAAUGGACAUGGGACUUGAGUUGCCCAUCAUUCAUUGAGUGCUAUCUGACCCACUGCAUCACAACACUGAGCAUGCAAAACAGCACUUCAUUGAGUGGAAGAGACUCAGGCCUAUCCUGAAGGCAGAAGGUCUGGUGCUCACUGUGUGUAAUCGUGACUGCGGGGACCCGCCUAUCGGAGUAAAUAUGUAAAAGGAGGUGAAGAGGUGGGCCUGAUCCCUGGCCCGAGGAGUGAAUUCAGGCAAAGCCCUUGAUGUCUUUGUGCCUAAGUGUCUCUCCAGUUGAGGAAAACAGUCGCUGUUGUUAAGCCUCCUGGGUAGAUGCCAAAAGAAUGGCCACUCAUGAGGAAGAGGGCUGCAUUAGGCUGAGAAAGCCGCAGGAAGUGACUGAGAGGGAAGAGAGAAAGUGCAGCUUACUGUGUGUGCUGGUGUCACUUGACCCUCUCCACAUUACCCCAGGGGCAUCAGGACUUGAAGAACUGGCCCAAAAAUGCUGCUACUCUGGCUACUACCAUUGCUGUGAGUUAAAAACUGUCCUUUGUCUCUGACCCAGGAGUUCUAUGCCUUCUACCAGCAUCCAUGAAACUUGGCUGGCUAAAUUGUUAGCUUUCCAGUAGCUAUUAUGAAAUCUCAGGCCCUUUGUGAUUAUUUUUUUGUUUGUUGGUUUGGGUUUUGUACAUAUUUAUGGGGUACAUGUGACAUUGUGUCACAUGCGUAGAAUGUGUACUUCUACUUCAGGAUGUUUAGGAGAUCCAUCACCAUAAACUUUACCAUUUCUAUGUGUUGAGAACAUUUCAAGUUCUCACUUCUAGCUACAAUACAUUGUUGUUAACUGUAGUCACCUUACUCUACAAUUGAAUAUUACUGCUUAUUCCUUCUGUAUAACUGUAUGUUUGUACCCAUUAAUCAAUCUGUCUUCAUCUACACAUCUAAAUCCUUCCCAGUCUCUUGUCACCACCAUUUGAUUUUCCACCUCCAUGAGAUCCAUAUUUUAAGCUCCCACAUAUAAGUGAGUACAUGCAAUAUUUAUUUCUGUGUCUGGCUUAUUUAACUUGAUAUAAUGACCUACAGUUCCAUCUAUGUUGCUGUAAAUGACAUGAUUUCAUUCUUUUUUUGGACAAAUAGUAUUCCAUUGCAUAAAUAAA
rnacentral:lncRNA from 10 species